rnacentral:rRNA from 1 species
GACGAACGCUGGCGGCGUGCUUAAUACAUGCAAGUCGAGCGAGGCCCAUCCAGUGGCAACACUGGGGAAGGCCGAGCGGCGAACGGGUGAGUAACACGUGAGCAACCUGCCCCGAAGUCUGGAAUAACAUCGGGAAACCGGUGCUAAUACCGGAUUGCCCCACCUGACCGCAUGAUCGGGUGAGGAAAGAUCUAUCGCGUUCGGGGAGGGGCUCGCGGCCUAUCAGCUAGNGGCGGGUAACGGCCCACCAAGGCGUCGACGGGUAGCUGGUCUGAGAGGACGACCAGCCACACUGGGACUGAGACACGGCCCAGACUCCGUACGGGAGGCAGCAGUAGGGAAUCUUGCGCAAUGGGCGAAAGCCGGACGCAGCAACGCCGCGUGGGGA